ACGGAGGGGGCAAGCGUUAUUCGGAUUUACUGGGCGUAAAGCGCACGUAGGCGGCAAUGCAAGUCGCAGGUGAAAGCCCUCGGCUCAACCGAGGAACUGCCUGCGAAACUACUUUGCUUGAGUCCGGGAGGGGGGAGCGGAAUUCCCAGUGUAGCGGUGAAAUGCGUAGAUACUGGGAGGAACACCGGUGGCGAAGGCGGCUCCCUGGACCGGUACUGACGCUGAGGUGCGAAAGCGUGGGUAGCAAACAGG
rnacentral:rRNA from 1 species